rnacentral:rRNA from 1 species
UACGGGAGGCAGCAGUGGGGAAGUAUUGCACAAUGGGCGCAAGCCUGAUGCAGCCAUGCCGCGUGUAUGAAGAAGGCCUUCGGGUUGUAAAGUACUUUCAGUCGUGAAGGAAGGUGUUAAGGUUAAUAACCUUAGCAAUUGACGUUAGCGACAGAAGAAGCACCGGCUAACUCCGUGCCAGCAGCCGCGGUAAUACGGAGGGUGCGAGCGUUAAUCGGAAUUACUGGGCGUAAAGGGCACGCAGGCGGUUAAUUAAGUUGGAUGUGAAAUCCCCGGGCUUAACCUGGGAAUGGCAUUCAAGACUGGUUAGCUAGAGUCUUGUAGAGGGGGUAGAAUUCCGAUGUGUAGCGGUGAAAUGCGUAGAGAUGUGGAGGAAUACCGGUGGCGAAGGCGGCCCCUGGACAAAGACUGACGCUCAUGUGCGAAAGCGUGGGGAGCA